rnacentral:rRNA from 1 species
AACGAACGCUGGCGGCAUGCCUAACACAUGCAAGUCGAACGAGACCUUCGGGUCUAGUGGCGCACGGGUGCGUAACGCGUGGGAACCUGCCCUUAGGUUCGGAAUAACUCCCCGAAAGGGGUGCUAAUACCGGAUAAUGUCUUCGGACCAAAGAUUUAUCGCCUUUGGAUGGGCCCGCGUUGGAUUAGCUAGUUGGUAGGGUAAAAGCCUACCAAGGCGACGAUCCAUAGCUGGUCUGAGAGGAUGAUCAGCCACACUGAGACUGAGACACGGCCCAGACUCCUACGGGAGGCAGCAGUGGGGAAUAUUGGACAAUGGGCGAAAGGAUGAUGCAGCAAUGCCGCGUGAGUGAUGAAGGCCUUAGAGUUGUAAAGCUCUUUUACCCGGGAUGAUAAUGACAGUACCGGGAGAAUAAGCUCCGGCUAACUCCGUG